CCUACGGGUGGCAGCAGUGAGGAAUAUUGGUCAAUGGGCGGAAGCCUGAUCCAGCCAAGUAGCGUGCAGGAUGACGGCCCUACGGGUUGUAAACUGCUUUUAUACGGAAAUACCUCGCCUUACGUGUAGGGCUUUGCAUGUACCGUAUGAAUAAGGACCGGCUUAUUCCGUGCCAGCAGCCGCGGUGAUACGGAAGGUCCGGGCGUUAUCCUGUUUUAUUGGGUUGAAAGGGAGCGUAGGCCGCAUGUCAAGCGUGCUGUGAAAUGGCCGGGCUCAACCCGGGCCUUGCAGCGCGAACUGGCGUGCUUGAGUCCGCGGAAAGCAGGCGGAAUUCGUCGUGUAGCGGUGAAAUGCUUAGAUAUGACGAAGAACCCCGAUUGCGAAGGCAGCUUGCUGCAGCGGAACUGACGCUGAUGCUCGAAAGCGCGGGUAGCGAACAGGAUUAGAUACCCCAGUAGUC
rnacentral:rRNA from 1 species